rnacentral:lncRNA from 1 species
GAAAGCACAGACUUUAGUCUGUCUUUCCCCCUCUCUCUCGAUCUUUACAUAUACCAACACAGACAUAUCAUAAGCCAAACACCCUCUCACACCUUCUAGCUCCCUCUCCCACUUCCGUUUGUAGCAGCUAACCACACAAAGACCAUAUCACAAGUUCAUCUCUGAAACACCCUGACCUCUCUAAAUAAUCGCCGGCCACCACCAUUGGUGGCGGCGCACGGCGGUGGCAGCAGAGCCACGAUGGCUCGAGGCAGUGCACGGCGGUGGUGGCUCUGAACGACAGGGAGAGAGAGAGAGACUGAGAUGAGGAGCGGCGCCGCCACUCACGGCGGUGGCAGUGGCGGCUUGGUGAUGGUUCUAAUGACAUCCAACGAGUUCCGGUAAGGAACCUCUCCAUUUCUUUUAUUUAUACAAAUUUUAACUCGGGUCCGUUGUUUCUUUUUCUCCAAUGAUGUUGAUGAUAAUGUGGAUGUUGACGGAUGAUGGUGAUGAUGACGGUGUGGUGGUGGUCCGUCGGCGGUACCGUCUGAGCCACGUCGGAGCCACGACUGUGGAAGUGGUGGUGGUCAUAGUUUAGUCAGUUUCUGGUCCGGGUCUCAUUCUAGGUUCAGUUAAACCCAGUCAACACUGGUCAAAGCUCUGUUGGAUUUGUUUCGGGUCACUGCACAACGAGUCAAUGGAUGGUCAACAGAAGUUAACUGGUCAAACCUCAGUCAAGGCAGUCAACUCAGCGAUUUGACUCAGUCAACUCAGCCGGUUGACUCAGUUGACUGGGUUAACUCGGUCAAACCGUUCGGCGUUUCGACAUGAAGACUUGGAUUAAAUGAGCUCAAAUUCACAAAAGAAGCAAAAAGACAGCUAAAUCUAACAUAAAUACAAGAAAAGGAACACAAGUGGAUUGCCUGACCCCUCAACGGCAUCCUCCCAAGCAAAAUAGAGAAGACAGAAGACUGAACACGCCCCGUGCUCAGCCAGC